rnacentral:rRNA from 1 species
GACGAACGCUGGCGGCGUGCUUAACACAUGCAAGUCGAACGGAAAGGCCCUGCUUUUGUGGGGUGCUCGAGUGGCGAACGGGUGAGUAACACGUGAGUAACCUGCCCUUGACUUUGGGAUAACUUCAGGAAACUGGGGCUAAUACCGGAUAGGAGCUCCUGCUGCAUGGUGGGGGUUGGAAAGUUUCGGCGGUUGGGGAUGGACUCGCGGCUUAUCAGCUUGUUGGUGGGGUAGUGGCUUACCAAGGCUUUGACGGGUAGCCGGCCUGAGAGGGUGAACGGCCACAUUGGGACUGAGGUACGGACCAGCCUGCUACGGGAGGCAGUAGUGGGGAAUAUUGCACAAUGAGCGGGAGCCUGAUGCAGAAACGCCGCGUGCGGGAUGAAGGCCAUCGGGUUGGAAACCGCUUUCGCCUGUGACGAAGCGUGAGUGACGGUAAUGGGUAAAGAAGCACCGGCUAACUACGUG